rnacentral:lncRNA from 1 species
AAAAUUUGGUUAGACAUUGUCAAAACUUACCUUAAAAUAACUCAAUAAUAAUAAAAUAAAUAAUAAAAUAAAAGGAAAAAAAUUAAACGCAAUCACAAUGCUCAAAACGAAAAAUUUGGAAAACUAACACAAUCCAAAGUAGACCCUCUCACUUAUCCCAGCCUCCUUCGACUCUCACAAACCUCGCGUUCGCUGGAGCUACAAAAUCUUAUCGGAGAGGGUGAGUCUGAGGUGGUGAAUGUGCCUCAAAACAGAGUUGCUCGGGACGCUCUUUGUGUGAUGAGCGGAUGGAUUAUUGAAGCAGAAGUGAAAAGUUCUGAUGUAGUUGUUGUAAUAUUAUCGUCGACAUAUGCUUUAAAGUGCAUAUCAAAGAAUGAAGUGCACUUGGAAUUUUUAGGCGUGAAUGAAAUAUGGUGAUGGAUUUGUUUUUUAGUGUUUUGAAACGGAAUUUACAGUAGGGUAUUUAUGUUUUCUGGUGGUUGUUGCUAUUGAGUCAAUGGUUGAUGAGUUGUGUAACACAAUGAUGGUUCGAAAGUGCGAGAAUAAUGAAGUUUGUGUUGUGAUGGAAAAAGUAGAGGUUAUACAAUGGUUUUGUUGGGGGGGUUUAGUAUUUUUUCGGAACCAACGAAUUAAGGUGAAAAAGGAAAGUUACGAAGAAAUGAAAUUU